CAUUGCUUCGGCAAUACAUAUACUAAAUCGGAACGAUACAGAGAAGAUUAGCGUGGCCCCUUCGCAAGGAUGACACGCAAAUUCGUGAAGCGUUCCAUAUUAAA
rnacentral:snRNA from 1 species